UACGGAGGGAGCUAACGUUAUUCGGAAUUACUGGGCGUAAAGCGCACGUAGGCGGCUUUGUAAGUAAGAGGUGAAAGCCCGGAGCUCAACUCCGGAACUGCCUUUUAGACUGCAUCGCUUGAAUCCAGGAGAGGUGAGUGGAAUUCCGAGUGUAGAGGUGAAAUUCGUAGAUAUUCGGAAGAACACCAGUGGCGAAGGCGGCUCACUGGACUGGUAUUGGCGCUGAGGUGCGAAAGCGUGGGGAGCAAACAGG
rnacentral:rRNA from 1 species